rnacentral:misc_RNA from 1 species
AAGUCGUAACAAGGUUUCCGUAGGUGAACCUGCGGAAGGAUCAUUACCGAAUUGUUAACAAGAGUUGUUGCUGGUCCCCGUACGGGGGGCAUGUGCACACUCUGUUUACACAUCCACUCACACCUGUGCACCCUCUGUAGUUCUAUGGCCUGGGUGGGCUCUGUCCUCCCGCUGUGGUUCUACGUCUUUACACACACACACUACAACAAAGUCUCAUGGAAUGUAUGUCGCGUUUAACGCAAUGAAAUACAACUUUCAGCAACGGAUCUCUUGGCUCUC